AUUGAACGCUGGCGGCAGGCCUAACACAUGCAAGUCGAGCGGAUGAAGGGAGCUUGCUCCUGGAUUCAGCGGCGGACGGGUGAGUAAUGCCUAGGAAUCUGCCUGGUAGUGGGGGAUAACGUCCGGAAACGGGCGCUAAUACCGCAUACGUCCUGAGGGAGAAAGUGGGGGAUCUUCGGACCACACGCUAUCAGAUGAGCCUAGGUCGGAUUAGCUAGUUGGUGGGGUAAAGGCCUACCAAGGCGACGAUCCGUAACUGGUCUGAGAGGAUGAUCAGUCACACUGGAACUGAGACACGGUCCAGACUCCUACGGGAGGCAGCAGUGGGGAAUAUUGGACAAUGGGCGAAAGCCUGAUCCAGCCAUGCCGCGUGUGUGAAGAAGGUCUUCGGAUUGUAAAGCACUUUAAGUUGGGAGGAAGGGCAGUAAGUUAAUACCUUGCUGUUUUGACGGUACCAACAGAAUAAGCACCGGCUAACUUCGUG
rnacentral:rRNA from 1 species